rnacentral:rRNA from 1 species
GUACGGAAGGCAGCAGUGAGGAAUUUUGCGCAAUGGGGGAAACCCUGACGCAGCAACGCCGCGUGAGUGAUGAAGGCCCUUGGGUCGUAAAGCUCUGACAGAGGGAAAGAAAUGUGGGUGGCUAAUAUCCAUUCCACUUGACGGUACCCUCAAAGGAGGCACCGGCUAACUCCGUGCCAGCAGCCGCGGUAAUACGGAGGGUGCGAGCGUUGUUCGGAUUUAUUGGGCGUAAAGCGCGUGUAGGCGGUUUUGUAAGUCUGAUGUGAAAGCCCCGGGCUCAACCUGGGAAGUGCAUUGGAUACUGCAAGACUUGAAUACGGGAGAGGGUAGUGGAAUUCCUGGUGUAGGAGUGAAAUCCGUAGAUAUCAGGAGGAACACCGGUGGCGAAGGCGGCUGCCUGGACCGAUAUUGACGCUGAGACGCGAAAGCGUGGGUAGCAAACAGGAUUAGAUACCCGUGUAU